rnacentral:lncRNA from 1 species
AGAUGGAAGAAUGAAAUGAAAGUGAUGAGGAAAUGGAAGAAAGGGGUUCCUAUUUAUAGAAAAUCGAGACCACUAGAUUUGCACCAAGUGGUAAAAGCCAGUGAUGAGAGAGAAAUUUGAAUGAAAGAUGAUUGACUUGAUGUGACGCGACGACAAGACAAAAAAAUAGAGGAAGAAUCCUCCACCAGCAGCGGCACACCACCUAAGACGGUGUAUGACGCCCAAAGGGGCAACGUCACACUGCUCAAGGCAGCAGUCCGCCUCACCUGGCCAACUGCGCGUUGCUGGCUCUAGCCUAACCUGCUGUCAUAGGGCCUACAACGCGCAGGGCGCUGCACGUAAGCUUACUGCGUGGUCGGCGCGCACAGUGUGCAGCACCUAGCCCUCUCCGCAAGCGAUGUGACACGCACAGACUGACCUAUCUGCACGUAACGUGAUGCUCGUGCAAACAGGCCCGCACCCCACGUUGAUGG